rnacentral:rRNA from 1 species
GAUCAUGGCUCAGGAUGAACGCUAGCUACAGGCUUAACACAUGCAAGUCGAGGGGCAGCAUGGUCUUAGCUUGCUAAGGCUGAUGGCGACCGGCGCACGGGUGAGUAACACGUAUCCAACCUGCCGUCUACUCUUGGCCAGCCUUCUGAAAGGAAGAUUAAUCCAGGAUGGGAUCAUGAGUUCACAUGUCCGCAUGAUUAAAGGUAUUUUCCGAGGUAGACGAGG